GUUGGUGAACCAGCGGAGGGAUCAUUACAGAGUUGCAAAACUCCCAACCAUUGUGAACCUACCUCACCGUUGCUUCGGCGGGUGGCCCGCUAAACCCGCGCCGCGUCAGCCCCUCUCUUGGGGGGUCGGCAACCCGUCAGAGGACCGAAACUCUUCGUCAUCAGUGGCCUCUCUGAGUAACUUAUACAAUAAGUCAAAACUUUCAACAACGGAUCUCUUGGUUCUG
rnacentral:misc_RNA from 1 species